GCAGAGUAGCACAAAAAGCGUUAAGUGACACGAAACGGGAUGUUGAUCGUGUACGAAAAGGCGAUUCCUUGCGAUUUUUUGGCGCAUCCA
rnacentral:ncRNA from 1 species